rnacentral:rRNA from 1 species
GGCCGCGGGAAUUCGAUUCAGGCCUAACACAUGCAAGUCGAACGGCAGCACAGCAGUAGCAAUACUGUGGGUGGCGAGUGGCGAACGGGUGAGGAAUGCGUCGGAAUCUGCCCAGUUGUGGGGGAUAACUAGCCGAAAGGUUAGCUAAUACCGCAUACGACCGAGAGGUGAAAGCGGGGGACCGAAAGGCCUCGCGCGAUUGGAUGAGCCGACGCCGGAUUAGCUAGUUGGUAAGGUAAAGGCCUACCAAGGCGACGAUCCGUAGCUGGUCUGAGAGGAUGAUCAGCCACACUGGAACUGAGACACGGUCCAGACUCCUACGGGAGGCAGCAGUGGGGAAUAUUGGACAAUGGGCGCAAGCCUGAUCCAGCAAAGGCGCGUGUGUGAAGAAGUCCUUCGGGUUGUAAAUAAAUGGGUCCGGAACGAAAAGCGAUGGAUUAAUACUCUGUCGUGCUGACGGUACCGGG